UGGGGAAUAUUGCACAAUGGGGGAAACCCUGAUGCAGCGACGCCGCGUGAAGGAAGACGUAUUUCGGUAUGUAAACUUCUAUCAGCAAGGAAGAUGAUGACGGUACUUGACUAAGAAGCCCCGGCUAACUACGUGCCAGCAGCCGCGGUAAUACGUAGGGGGCAAGCGUUAUCCGGAUUUACUGGGUGUAAAGGGAGCGUAGGCGGCCAUGCAAGUCAGAAGUGAAAGCCCGGGGCUCAACCCCGGGACUGCUUUUGAAACUGUAGGGCUAGAUUGCCGGAGAGGUGAGCGGAAUUCCUAGUGUAGCGGUGAAAUGCGUAGAUAUUAGGAGGAACACCAGUGGCGAAGGCGGCUCACUGGACGGUAAAUGACGCUGAGGCUCGAAAGCGUGGGGAGCAAACA
rnacentral:rRNA from 1 species